rnacentral:lncRNA from 1 species
ACACAGAGGCCGCCCGCCAAGUAUGGUGCCAUUCCGAGUCCCGCGGACGAACUUCGCCCACGCCCCCCACCAAGGCUAUAGCCCACGCGUUUUUUGGCCUUUUUUCCGCUGGGGGGUCUUGGGACCCCGAUCUUCGGGGGCUGAUUUUUGGGCGCGGCUGUGCCCGUGGCCUAUUUUUCGCAAACAGAGGCCGCCCGCCAAGUAUGGUGCCAUUCCGAGUCCCGCGGACGAACUUCGCCCACGCCCCCCACCAAGGCUAUAGCCCACGCGUUUUUUGGCCAUUUUUCCGCUGGGGGGUCUUGGGACCCCGACCUUCGGGGGCUGAUUUUUGGGCGCGGCUGUGCCCGUGGCCUAUUUUUGGAACACCGAGGCCGCCCGCCAAGUGUGGUGCCAUUCCGAGUCCCGCGGACGAACUUCGCCCACGCCCCCCACCAAGGCUAUAGCCCAUGCGUUUUUUGGCCUUUUUUCCGCUGGGGGGUCUUGGGACCCCGACCUUCGGGGGCUGAUUUUUGGGCGCGGCUGUGCCCGUGGCCUAUUUUUGGCACACAGAGGCCGCCCGCCAAGUAUGGUGCCAUUCCGAGUCCCGCGGACGAACUUCGCCCACGCCCCCCACCAAGGCUAUAGCCCACGCGUUUUUUGGCCAUUUUUCCGCUGGGGGGUCUUGGGACCCCGACCUUCGGGGGCUGAUUUUUGGGCGCGGCUGUGUCCGUGGCCUAUUUUUGGCACACAGAGGCCGCCCGCCAAGUAUGGUGCCAUUCCGAGUCCCGCGGACGAACUUCGCCCACGCCCCCCACCAAGGCUAUAGCCCACCCGUUUUUUGGCCAUUUUUCCGCUGGGGGGUCUUGGGACCCCGACCUUCGGGGGCUGAUUUUUGGGCGCGGCUGUGCCCGUGGCCUAUUUUUGGCACACAGAGGCCGCCCGCCAAGUAUGGUGCCAUUCCGAGUCCCGCGGACGAACUUCGCCCACGCCCCCCACCAAGGCUAUAGCCCACGCGUUUUUUGGCCAUUUUUCCGCUGGGGGGUCUUGGGACCCCGACCUUCGGGGGCUGAUUUUUGGGCGCGGCUGUGCCCGUGGCCUAUUUUUGGCACACGCAGGCCGCCCGCCAAGUAUGGUGCAAUUCCGAGUCCCGCGGACGAACUUCGCCCACGCCUCCCACCAAGGCUAUAGCCCACCCCGUUUUUGGCCAUUUUUCCGCUGGGGGGUCUUUGGAACCCCGACCUUCGGGGGCUGAUUUUUGGGCCGCGGUUGUGCCCGUGGCCUAUUUUUGGAUCACCGAGGCCGCCCGCCAAGUAUGGUGCCAUUCCGAGUCCCGCGGACGAACUUCGCCCACGCCCCCCACCAAGGCUAUAGCCCACCCGUUUUUUGGCCAUUUUUCCGCUGGGGGGUCUUGGGACCCCGACCUUCGGGGGCUGAUUUUUGGGCGCGGCUGUGCCCGUGGCCUAUUUUUGGCACACAGAGGCCGCCCGCGAAGUAUGGUGCCAUUCCGAGCCCCGCGGACGAACUUCGCCCACGCCCCCCACCAAGGCUAUAGCCCACGCGUUUCUUGGCCUUUUUUCCGCUGGGGGGUCUUGUGACCCCGACCUUCGGGGGCUGAUUUUUGGGCGCGGCUGUGCCCGUGGCCUAUUUUUGGCACACCGAGGCCGCCCGCCAAGUAUGGUGCCAUUCCGAGUCCCGCGGACGAACUUCGCCCACGCCCCCCACCAAGGCUAUAGCCCACCCGUUUUUUGGCCAUUUUUCCGCUGGGGGGUCUUGGGACCCCGACCUUCGGGGGCUGAUUUUUGGGCGCGGCUGUGCCCGUGGCCUAUUUUUGGCACACGGAGGCCGCCCGCCAAGUAUGGUGCCAUUCUGAGUCCCGCGGACGAACUUCGCCCACGCCCCCCACCAAGGCUAUAGCCCACCCGUUUUUUGGCCAUUUUUCCGCUGGGGGGUCUUGGGACCCCGACCUUCGGGGGCUGAUUUUUGGGCGCGGCUGUGCCCGUGGCCUAUUUUUGGUCUCGGAGGCCGCCCGCCAAGUCUGGGGCCAUUCCGAGUCCGGCGGACGAACUUCGCCCACGCCCCCCACAUAGGCUAUAGCCCACCCGUUUUUUGGCCAUUUUUCCGCUGGGGGGUCUUGGGACCCCGACCUUCGGGGGCUGAUUUUUGGGCACGGCUGUGCCCGUCGCCUAUUUUUGGCACACGGAGGCCGCCCGCCAAGUCUGGGGCCAUUCCGAGUCCCGCGGACAAACUUCGCCCACGCCCCCCACCAAGGCUAUAGCCCACCCUUUUUUUGGCCAUUUUUCCGCUGGGUGGUCUUGGGACCCCGACCUUCGGGGGCUGAUUUUUGGGCGCGGCUGUGCCCGUGGCCUAUUUUUGGCACACGAAGGCCGCCCGCCAAGUCUGGGGCCAUUCCGAGUCCCGCGGACGAACUUCGCCCACGCCCCCCACCAAGGCUAUAGCCCACCCUUUUUUUGGCCAUUUUUCCGCUGGGGGGUCUUGGGACCCCAACCUUCGGGGGCUGAUUUUUGGGCACGGCUGUGCCCGUGGCCUAUUUUUGGCACACGGAGGCAGCCCGCCAAGUAUGGUGCCAUUCCGAGUCCCGCGGACGAACUUCGCCCACUCCCCCCACCAAGGCUAUAGCCCACCCGUCUUUUGGCCAUUUUUCCGCUGGGGGGUCUUGGGACCCCGACCUUCGGGGGCUGAUUUUUGGGCGCGGCUGUGCCCGUGGCCUAUUUUUGGCAAACGGAGGCCGCCCGCCAAGUAUGGUGCCAUUCCGAGUACCGCGGACGAACUUCGCCUAUUUUUGGCACACGGAGGCCGCCCGCCAAGUAUGGUGCCAUUCCGAGUCCCGCGGACGAACUUCGCCCACUCCCCCCACCAAGGCUAUAGCCCACCCGUCUUUUGGCCAUUUUUCCUCUGGGGGGUCUUGGGACCCCGACCUUCGGGGGCUGAUUUUUGGGCGCGGCUGUGCCCGUGGCCUAUUUUUGGCACACGGAGGCUGUCCGCCAAGUCUGGGGCCAUUCCGAGUCCCGCGGACGAACUUCGCCCACGCCCCCCACCAAGGCUAUAGCCCACCCGUUUUUUGGCCAUUUUUCCGCUGGGGGGUUCUUGGGACUCCGACCUUCGGGGGCUGAUUUUUGGGCGCGGCUGUGCCCGUGGCCUAUUUUUGGCUCACGGAGGCCGCCCGCCAAGUAUGGUGCCAUUCCGAUUCCCGCGGACGAACUUCGCCCACUCCCCCCACCAAGGCUAUAGCCCACCCGUCUUUUGGCCAUUUUUCCGCUGGGGGGUCUUGGGUCCCCGACCUUCGGGGGCUGAUUUUUGGGCGCGGCUGUGCCCGUGGCCUAUUUUUGGCAAACGGAGGCCGCCCGCCAAGUAUGGUGCAAUUCCAAGUCCCGCGGACGAACUUUGCCCACUCCCCCCACCAAGGCUAUAGCCCACCCGUCUUUUGGCCAUUUUUCCACUGGGGGGUCUUGGGUCCCCGACCUUCGGGGGCUGAUUUUUGGGCGCGGCUGUGCCCGUGGCAUAUUUUUGGCAAACGGAGGCCGCCCGCCAAGUAUGGUGCCAUUCCGAGUCCCGCGGACGAACUUCGCCCACUCCCCCCACCAAGGCUAUAGCCCACCCGUCUUUUGGCCAUUUUUCCGCUGGGGGGUCUUGGGUCCCCGACCUUCGGGGCUGAUUUUUGGGCGCGGCUGUGCCCGUGGCCUAUUUUUGGCACACGGAGCCGCCCGCCAAGUAUGGUGCCAUUCCGAGUCCCGCGACGACUUCGCCCACUCCCCCCACCAAGGCUAUAGCCCACUCGUCUUUUGGCCAUUUUUCCGCUGGGGGGUCUUGGGUCCCCGACCUUCGGGGGCUGAUUUUUGGGCGCGGCUGUGCCCGUGGCCUAUUUUUGGCAAACGGAGGCCGCCCGCCA